UGGGAUUUAAUGGGGUAUAAUGCUGGUCUGUAGGGUGAGGCCAUCAAUCGCAUUGAGCAGCACAUCCUGCAGUCGGGGACGGCCGUGAUGAAGGGACAGCGACAACUGAGGGACGCACAAGGACAGCAGGGCAAGGCCAGGAGGAAGCGGCUCAUCAUGGCGUCCUGCCUCGUCCUCACCGUCCUCAUCCUCGUCGCCAUCAUCGCCUCCUCCGUGGCCGCUGGAUGAUGAUUGGCCGGCGCCCAGCCCUCCUCGAUGCUGAUUGGACGAUGCCGUGCCUUAAGCCCACCCUCCUCGAUGCUGAUUGGACAAUGCCAUGCCUUAAGCCCGCCCUGCUCGAUGCUGAUUGGACGGUGCACUUGGCUGGGCACUUCCUGACACUACUUGACGUCACUUCCUGUCUUUAAUGGCGUCACUUCCUGGUUCUAGUGAUGUCACUUCCUGUCUCUGCUGAUGUCACUUCCUGCUGCUACUGAUGGCACUUCCUGCUUCUAGUGACGUCA